rnacentral:misc_RNA from 1 species
GAUGAAGAACGCAGAGAAAUGCGAUACGUAAUGUGAAUUGCAGAAUUCAGUGAAUCAUCGAAUCUUUGAACGCACAUUGCGCCCGCCAGCACUCUGGCGGGCAUGCCUGUUCGAGCGUCAUUUCAACCAUCAAGCCCCAGGCUUGCGUUGGAGCCCUGCGGCUGCCGCAGCCUCCUAAAAGCAGUGGCGGGCUCGCUAUCACACCGAGUGCAGUAGAUUACUCUUCGCUCAGGGCGUGCAGCGGGUUCCGGCCGUGAAACCCCCUACUUUUAAAGGUUGACCUCGGAUCAGGUAGGAAUACCCGCUGAACUUAAGCAUAUCAAUAAGCGGAGGA